rnacentral:rRNA from 1 species
CCUACGGGGAGCUGCAGUGAGGAAUAUUGGUCAAUGGGCUUACGCCUGAACCAGCCAAGUCGCGUGAGGGAAGACUGCCCUAUGGGUUGUAAACCUCUUUUGUCAGGGAGCAACGCCGGCUACGUGUAGCCGGACUGAGAGUACCUGAAGAAAAAGCAUCGGCUAACUCCGUGCCAGCAGCCGCGGUAAUACGGAGGAUGCGAGGAUUAUCCGGAUUUAUUGGGUUUAAUGGGUGCGUAGGCGGAAUGCCAAGUCAGCGGUAAAAUGGCGGGGCUCAACCUCGCUCCGCCGUUGAAACUGGCGUUCUUGAGAGGGCGAGAAGUAUGCGGAAUGCGUGGUGUAGGAGUGAAAUGCAUAGAUAUUACGCAGAACUCCGAUUGCGAAGGCAGCAUACCGGCGCCCAACUGACGCUGAAGCACGAAAGCGUAGGUAUCGAACAGGAUUAGAUACCCGUGUAGUC